rnacentral:lncRNA from 1 species
AUUAAUUGGGAAGGAUUAUAUAAAAAAUAACCUUACAAUGUGUACAAAAUUACAAGAGAAUGCCAUUACAAUUUUCUGAUUCUACUACUUAAAAUAAAAGAUCUGCGAGGGGUAUAAUGGGACAAACAUAAUCAAACAGAGACGCGGAUCUUGGAUCAUGAAGUCGGAUCUCGGGUCUUUAUCACCUUUUUGGAAGGAGGAAUAGCAGCCCGAUUUGUUUGAUGAAUGAUCCUAUUGGGCUUACGAAGAAUAGGCCCGAUCGGGUAUACAAUAUUUAUAGAAAAUAAUAAUCAGAUUCAAUACAUUUAUUAAAAAUAACCAUAACAAGCAAAUCUAUUAUGAGGAUUACAAUCUCUCUACUCCUAUAUUUCUAUAACAACCUAUAUGACAAAAUCCGUUUAUUGAAAUAGCCAUUUUAGAUUAAAUAGCUUCAAAAAACAUUUCAUAACAACUAAAACUAUAAAUGCGAAUUAUAAUGAAAAAAAUCACGGAAUAAUAUAUGCAAACUCAAUCCCGCAUAUUCACCUAAUCAACUGAUAACUAAUCGUUCGAGAUUAUAUCUCCUUGAUUUAGUUUAUAUUUAAAGUGAUAAAAUCUUUUCAAAUCCACAUUAAUCAAUAAAUUCAACUCAAAAAAUCAUUAUCGUAUUACAAAAAAUCGAAUAAAAUCAAUCAUAUACCUUAAAUAUUCUAAUAGAUUUAAUCCUCUUCCCCCGUAAUUUUCUGAACCCUAGAAAAAUUAUAGACGACUUUCAUAACUAUAAAUAUAGGGUUUAGAAUUCAGAAAAACUCACCUUUCCAUUGUUUAAACUGUUCUCUUCA